rnacentral:rRNA from 1 species
UACGGAGGUCCCAAGCGUUGUUCGGAUUCACUGGGCGUAAAUGGUGCGUAGGCGGUUGGGAAAGUUCGAUGUGAAAUCUCCGGGCUCAACCUGGAAAUUGCAUUGAAAACUAUUCGACUAGAGGAUUGUAAGGGAGACUGGAAUUCGCGGUGUAGCAGUGAAAUGCGUAGAUAUGGAGAGGAACACCAGUGGCGAAGGCGAGUCUCUGGACAAUUCCUGACGCUGAGGCGCGAAAGCUAGGGGAGCAAACAGG